GGACUACUGGGGUAUCUAAUCCUGUUUGCUCCCCACGCUUUCGUGCAUGAGCGUCAGUACUGGCCCAGGAGGCUGCCUUCGCCAUCGGUGUUCCUCCACAUCUCUACGCAUUUCACUGCUACACGUGGAAUUCCACCUCCCUCUGCCGUACUCUAGCUUCGCAGUCUCAAAUGCCAUUCCCAGGUUAAGCCCGGGGAUUUCACAUCUGACUUACGAAACCACCUGCGCACGCUUUACGCCCAGUAAUUCCGAUUAACGCUCGCACCCUACGUAUUACCGCGGCUGCUGGCAC
rnacentral:rRNA from 1 species